rnacentral:rRNA from 1 species
GACAGAGGGUGCAAACGUUUGUUCGGAAUUACUGGGCGUAAAGCGCGUGUAGGCGGCCCUGCAAGUCGGAUGUGAAAUCCCAGGGCUCAACCCUGGAAGUGCACUUGAUACUGUAAGUCUUGAAUGUGGUAGAGGUUACUGGAAUUCCUGGUGUAGCGGUGAAAUGCGCAGAUAUCAGGAGGAACACCGGUGGCGAAGGCGGGUCUCUGGGCAACAACUGACGCUGAGGAGCGAAAGCGUGGGGAGCGAACAGG